UUUGCCAAGUCUUCUUCUAUAACUUUCUAUCUCUGUUGGACUUUGAAAAGGCUCUAAGAGAGCUAUAUAUGAGUAAUGAUUUUUCCUGUUAAGAUCAAGUAAUCUCUCAAAAGCAUUUGGAGAGUUUACUGACCUUAUGUUCCAGAAAAGUAAUUUGCUAAUCAUUGAUCACUGGAGGAUGAUAUUCCCUUCCUGCUCCUUGUAUUUAUUUGCAGAAGCACUAUAUUGCUGUAUUUCUUUUUGUGCCUACAUUUUAGUUGCCCUAUUUGUCUUGGUGACAAAUAUCCUUCUCUUCCUAUUUGCUCUAUGGAUGCCUCCAUGUCAUC
rnacentral:lncRNA from 1 species